rnacentral:rRNA from 1 species
UACGUAGGGGGCAAGCGUUAUCCGGAAUUACUGGGUGUAAAGGGUGAGUAGGCGGCAUGGUAAGCCAGAUGUGAAAGCCUUGGGCUUAACCCGAGGAUUGCAUUUGGAACUAUCAAGCUAGAGUACAGGAGAGGAAAGCGGAAUUCCUAGUGUAGCGGUGAAAUGCGUAGAUAUUAGGAAGAACCCCGAUUGCGAAGGCAGCAUACCGGCGCCCUACUGACGCUGAGGCACGAAAGUGCGGGUAUCGAACAGG